GACUCCUAUGAUAGUUUAACCAGAAGGAUUCCAAGGAGCUUUUUUUUUUUUUUUUUUCUCUCGAUAGCAGGCACAUUUUUAAAAGAAAGCUCAGGGUCUUUGUCUUCUCUCUCCGAAAGGUUCUCUGAUGGGCAGGAAAAGGGCUCAGAUGAAAUUGUCUUCAAGGUGAUGGGAAGAGCUAUAAAUAAAAUUGUUAUGAUCGUGGAGCUGAUUAAGGUGUCAUAGAGUUCGUGAUAGCAGAACUGCUUUACUUGCAAUGGAUGGGAUCCAAACCAGCCAAUUUAUCUUUACAUCAAUUCAACUGGAAU